CUGGCCUGGGAUUCCUGACAUCUUCUCUCAGCCUGCCAUGUGCUGGAGCCUCCGCAUCCCCGCUGUGAUCUCUGUCUGUGAGGGGCCAAGACAGUUCUCAGCAAUUUCGCCAGCAAAGAACUAACAGUCUUCAUUCUCAUGAGAGCCUUGCGUGACGCAGAGAUGUUGACGCACGGAACACAGGGAUCAGAAACUGCCAACCCAAGAUGCUCAGAGGCUGGCCUGUUGACUCCUUGGUUUCUCAGACUGGCGGCUUCGUUUCGGGGUUUUCCUCCACAAGAUCUUGCCGCUCUCUAAGAUGCUCCAGUACCCAGUGCUCUUUGCUCCCCAUGUGUCUCCGCUCUUCUUGACGCUGCAGCCCAGGGCUGUGACACCUGUCCCUGGCCUGACUCCAGGACGCAGAUGUAGGGACAGCAGAGAAACAUCCCUAGGGUUACUCCAGGAAGCCUCAAGCUGCCCCAGCCUGCAGAUCUGUGAGAACUCAGCAAGCAGCUCCAGGUACCCGUCGGUGUUCCACGGCUCUUGUCUGUCCAAGGGUGACACUCUGGCCCCGUCCACAAAGUGGGGAAGGAGGAUGUGCCCACUCACCACGGCUGCCUCCUUCAAA